UCAUUAAAUGAAGUGAAUCUCUGAAGUGAUGCAGAUGAGCAGAGAUCGGGAAAAGGCUGAAGUGAUACGAGCUGAGGCACUCUUAAAGCAUCUGCAGCAGAUUUUACACACAAUCACAUCUUUUUCCUGGAGCAAAAUGUCAAAAACCAGUAUUUUAGUGGCUCAGGAUCAGUUCAGCUGUCCGAUCUGUCUGGAUCUACUGAAGGAUCCAGUGACCAUCUCCUGUGGACACAGCUACUGCAUGAACUGUAUCACAGACUGCUGGAAUCAAGAAGAUCAGAAGGGAGUCUACAGCUGCCCUGAGUGCAGACAGACCUUCACUUCAAGACCUGCUUUAAACAAGAAUGUGAUGUUGGCUGAAAUGGUGGAGAAAUUCAGGACGACGAACAUUCAAGCGGUUUUUCGUGCUUCCAGUUAUGCUGCACCAUUCAGAAAAGCCAGUCUGAGGUGAUACAGAUGAUCAGAGAUUGAGAAAAAGCUGAAGUGAGUCGAGCUGAAGGACUCUUAAAGCAACUGAAGCAGGAGAUCGAUGAUCUGAAGAAGAGAGACGCUGAGCUGAAGCAGUUUUUACACACAGACGAUCGCAUCUAUUUCCUACAGAGUUUUCAGUCUUUAACACUGCACAUAAAUAUCUCCGUCUGUCUGAUGGCAACAGAUUGACUACAUUUACUGGAGCAGACCAGCGGUAUCCUGAUCAUCCGGACAGAUUUCAUGGUUUUUCUCAGGUGUUGUGUAGAGAGAG